CCUACAGCAUGCAGCCUUCGGCAAAGCACUUAGCAUUUUGAACCUCAGUCUCCCAUACGUGGAAGGGAGAUCAUAUUAUCCACUCUCAAAUUUCUUAUAAAGACGGUAUGAUACAGCAUGUGCAUGGAUCUGUUCCAGUGCUUGGGACACUAAACACUAAAUGCUAUUUUCAUUUCUUUCUCAAUAUCAUUUUAUUACUUGUCUCCGACAAAGCGUUUUAUUUUGACAUAAACACACCAAUUUUAAAGUAUGAGCCUGUGAUCACAGUCUGAAGCAAAAGUGUCAAUGCUUUUCAACCAAGUUAAGUUUAUUAAAUAAAAAAAGCCUAUUAUUUUCAGGGUGCCGUAUCUGGUGCAACGGAGGAUGAAGUCAAGCGAAGCAUGAACUUUGUUCCUAAGGGUUUUGUUGCUGAAAGUUUUUCUUGAAACCAAAAGCCAGCCUGUGGUGGAAUCUGCUAGAACUGUCAAGGAUUAUGAAGGUGCGCCAGAGUUCAGACUGAGAAGAACUUAUUUGGAUUCUGGGACUAUGUUCCCGCAAGGACUUUUAUUCCACACUUUGUUCUACGAAACUUAAACGGAAACAACUUCUCAGGGUGAACAGCACAAUUUGGCUACGUAUCUUUAUCCUAAGUUCCCUCUUGUCUCUCUUGGUACUAUGUUUCAAUCGCUUCUGCCCUUUGCAUAAAAUGUUCCAACUUUUAUAUGGUAAAUUGUAGUUAUCAUUGAGUAAAUACAUUCGUGUGGGCACUAGACACAAGGACUAACUUUUUGUACGAAAACUUACAGUUGACCCUUGAACAGGGGUUUGAACUGCAUGGGUCCAAUUCUAUGCAGACUUUUCCCCAUAAAUACAGUCCAGUGCUGUAAGUGUAUUUUUCCUUCUUUAUGACUUUUUCUAGUAACAUCUUUUCUCUACCUUUAUUGUAAAAAUACAGCUAAUCCAUACAACAUUCAAGAUAUGUGUUGGCCACCUGUUUGUGUUAUCAUUAAGGUUCCCAGUCCACAGUAGGCUACGAGGAGUUAAGUUUUGGGGGAACCAAAGUUACAUGUGGAUUUGUGACUCACCCCGAACCCCCGCACUGUUCAAGGGUCAACGUACGUGGUACCGUUCUUACAAAAAUACUCCUAAAUUGUCAUUUCGCGUUAGGGGAGCCCUUUAAUGGCUACGAAGGACAUUCACGUCACUUCAUCUGCUUCAGUCGGAGCUGGAAGGCAUUCUCAAAACUUGAGUGACAUUUUGACUAAUACCACUGUUCUUUGCCCUGAGUCCUUGUGAGUAAUUGGUGUCUCGUUACCCUCUCUACCCUUUCAAAACUACAGUUGUACCAGGAGUGACACAGCCGUGAGUUCCGUGGGUUUUCUAUGUGCCUCAUGUACCCCAGAAGAGGUGCUGAGAAAGCCAGCAACCCAGGAACACCAAGGGGCUGAGGCCCCCCCCAAAUAAAAAAAAUUGAAAGAGCCCCACAAAAACCCUGCUCUCUAUAGACAAAGGACGAGGAAAGGGGCAGACUGGCAAGGCAGAAAACUUUUAGACAAUAACCACCCUAUUCUAGACCGACACCCCAGGAAACACGCAGCCCUAUCUGCACCCCCGUAGUAAAGGUUAAAUGGGGAUCCUAGACCUGCCACCCUCACCUGGCCGUUAUGACACAGCUCCUCCGUGCUGGGGUCCUACCAGAGAAGCCUGAGUCGGGGGCCGGACUUCCUCCCAUCUGUAGCAGCUGGUAAGGUGACACCUCCACAGGACUAGUGGAGACCACGAGGGGAGCGGUAAUGAGGUGCCCCUCGCCCCCAGGUGGCCACAGAGGCUUGGUGGGGAACGUGGACACCCCCACCGUGGCGGUAUUGAGGCACCACAUCUCCUUCCCCUGCCACGGAGUGUCACGGGACACCUGCCAAGACAGAGAUGUAAACACGAUCCAGAAUCUCCUUACUUAACACCCCAAACGUCCAGGAUAUAAGUGAACAUCACUCAUGAUACUGCGAACCAGGGAAAUGCCAACAUGAGUGAGAAAAGACAGCAACAGAUGUCAAUAAUGGGACGACACAGGUGUCGGGAUUACCUGAAAAGGAUUUAAAACCAGCUCGAGACAUCAGAAAGUGCCAGCAAAGAAACGGAAGGUACGAAGGAGAACCAAACGGAAAGUUCAGAAUUGAGAAGUGUGAUACAUAGAGUAAGAGACUUACCGGACGCACAUUCCCACGGCAAAGCCUGCUUCUACGCCAUCGUUUCUUCAGUUAAGGAGUACAACGCAACAUUCUGAGUUUGAGAGGCGUUCGGUCAUUUCAGUAUCCAACUGUGAUCUUUAGUAAUUUAUUGUCAGUUACUUUUUGUAUGCCCAAGACCUGAACUGUCUGCCUGUGUCACCACCACGGAGCCCUAUUACCAAGAUUCCGUCUCACUCCCACCUGCUCCCACCCUCUCCCGGUGCCCACACCUUCACUAAUCAGGUUUGACGAUUCACCAACCGGUAGAGGGGUGCGGAGGGGCCAGCUCCACCCUGGCUGUGGCACCCCCACCUUACCAGCAUCCAAACGCCCCGAGCUUGGAAAAACACACCUUUGCGAUGUCCUUCUGAGUGUAUUUUUCUGGGACUCCAUAAAGUUUUUAUGUAAACAUGAGCAAAAGAACUAUUACAUCGUGAUCAGUCCAGACGGCCAAGAAUAAUACAAAAACAACCACCACCACCAAGGGUGGAAACAACCAUCGUGUGGGGGUGCAGGAAGCAACGAAUGUACAGCAAGCAGCUAUAUUGACCUACUGGAAAAGAAAUGCCUGGGACGUUUUCUCCCUGUAAACUUGGGUUUUGAUGAAAAGUUUGGAGGGAGAGUAGGGUGUGUCCUCUACGGCAGGAGAAAAGACUGAUACUCCGUGUCUUUAUGAAAUCGCCACAAUGUGUGUUAUUCUGAUCCUACCAGAUUUGAAGAGCUCCAUGAGUUAGGCAAGAAUAUGUCAUGAAAAUGCACAGCUUUUUUUUUUUUUAAGUUUAUUUAUUUAUUUUGAAAG